rnacentral:tRNA from 1 species
GCAGGAGUGCCAGAGUGGUCAAAUGGGGAGGACUCAAAAUCCUUCGGCUUAGUGCCUACGCAGGUUCGAACCCUGUCUCCUGCA